rnacentral:rRNA from 1 species
UGGGGAAUAUUGCGCAAUGGGCGAAAGCCUGACGCAGCGACGCCGCGUGGGGGAUGAAGGCCUUCGGGUUGUAAACCUCUUUCGCCCAGGACGAAGGCCCCCUUGCGGGGUUGACGCUACUGGGAGAAGAAGCGCCGGCUAACUACGUGCCAGCAGCCGCGGUAAUACGUAGGGCGCAAGCGUUGUCCGGAAUUAUUGGGCGUAAAGAGCUCGUAGGUGGCGUGUCGCGUCCGCUGUGAAAGCCCGGGGCUUAACUCCGGGUUUGCAGUGGAUACGGGCAUGCUUGAGGUAGGUAGGGGAGACUGGAAUUCCUGGUGUAGCGGUGAAAUGCGCAGAUAUCAGGAGGAACACCGGUGGCGAAGGCGGGUCUCUGGGCCUUACCUGACGCUGAGGAGCGAAAGCAUGGGGAGCGAACAGG